AAUGAUAUAACUUAAUUUGGUAAAGUGAAUAAUUGCAAAUUAUUUUAUUUCAGUUCAAAUCUGAAUAUCAUUU
rnacentral:tRNA from 1 species